GAUGAACGCUGGCGGCGUGCCUAAUACAUGCAAGUCGAGCGAACAGACGAGGAGCUUGCUCCUCUGACGUUAGCGGCGGACGGGUGAGUAACACGUGGAUAACCAACCUAUAAGACUGGGAUAACUUCGGGAAACCGGAGCUAAUACCGGAUAACAUGUUGAACCGCAUGGUUCAACAGUGAAAGACGGUCUUGCUGUCACUUAUAGAUGGAUCCGCGCCGCAUUAGCUAGUUGGUAAGGUAACGGCUUACCAAGGGAACGAUGCGUAGCCGACCUGAGAGGGUGAUCGGCCACACUGGAACUGAGACACGGUCCAGACUCCUACGGGAGGCAGCAGUAGGGAAUCUUCCGCAAUGGGCGAAAGCCUGACGGAGCAACGCCGCGUGAGUGAAGAAGGUCUUCGGAUCGUAAAACUCUGUUAUUAGGGAAGAACAAAUGUGUAAGUAACUAUGCACGUCUUGACGGUACCUAAUCAGAAAGCCACGGCUAACUACGUG
rnacentral:rRNA from 1 species